UUGUGUUCACUUCAGCUCCGGUGUGAGUCCACGCCGUGAAUCCUCUCACACUCCGGACCUACUAACAUGUACUGAUGAUGACGAUGAUGAUGUUGAUGUUGAUGUUAUUGGAGGCUUUAGUCAUGUGACCUGACCGUCCCACUCACUUCCUGCACAACGGGAACAAUGUUCUACUCUGAGUGUUUCUGAGUCUGACGUCCGACCACCAUCACUUACUCAUUUCAAACCCGAAGAAGAUAAAUAGCCUUCUAACAUCCCAUCGAUCGGUGAGUUAGAAUCAGAUUUGAGAUCUGACGGAACCUCAUUCCACCCAAAACUUUCAAUAACUCCAUCUGGUUAUAUGUUUGUAACAAUUCACCAACUCUCUCUACCACCUUAGAGCCAGCUGGAUGUUCUUGUGACGAUUAGAUCAGUAAGGUUCAUGUAUUCAAUCUAAAUAUUUUUGGUGUUUCAUAAUCUGGAUGUUAGAGGAGGAAGAUGCUCUAUAAUCUUUCCCUUUAAGGCCUUGUGGUUUUGUGAGGACUGGAGACUCAGAAACACUCCAAGCUUUUCUUUUCUUCUAGACAUUUUGGCUUCAGUUUGAUUUGUUUUUUAAGGUUAUCUUUAAGAAUCUUUAAGCAUUUUUCUCACUGACACAAAUCACUUCCUGUACCGAGGUCACAGGCUGACUGACAAAGUGAAGUCAAAGCAUCUGCAGCGCCCUCUGCUGGCUGAAGCAGAGACUGCGCCUCCUGGGCAGAUUUCAGUGCGUUUCUGAUGUUUUGGCUUCACUUCCGGUUCUCCACGGUUUGUAAAAAGUAGCGUGUGGUUUGUUUGCCUUUGACUUUCUUAGUUCAAGUGUUUGAUUCCAGGUGACGUCGUUCAACUGUGUGUGUGUGAGUGUGUGUUUGUGUGUGUGUGUGUGUGUGUGUGUGUGUGUGUGUCCUGCAUGUACAGCAAAGGGGUUGAUUUCCCAGAAUGCCGCUCCCGUCUCCUGGAAUCAGUGACGGCGUUGAGCAGGAUCCCUGUGGCUCCCUCUAGCGGACAGAAGGAGAACUGCAGCUGGUUUCAUGAGGAAACG